AUUUUCUCUCAAGAUCCGCUAUAGUGUUUUAUAACAAUGCUAUCAGUUGUACUAUCUGGUAGCACACUUCAGAAACAUGAAAUGAAAGAUAAAUGGAUGUUGUUACCCACUGCCAUGACCCACUGUGGUCUCAGGAUUUCUUUGGCUUAAUAAUCAGAAGAGUGGAGUUUGGGGCCCAACUGCCCAAUUUUAGGUCCAUAACCCGGAUUCUGUUUCUGCAUCAGUGACAUAAAAGAAUUGGACUGGAUGAUUAUUAAAGUUGCUUCCAACUCUUCUACAUUCUGCGGUUUCCAAAAGACGCCCAAGGAAAGAAGUCUCGCAGCAAACUGAUUUCAGAAUAAAAAGGGAUAGUUUAAUCUUUCAAAGCAAAUGGGAAGAAGGGGUUACCAUCGAG
rnacentral:lncRNA from 1 species